AUUCAAAUAGCUUAUGGAGAGUUUAAUAUUGAAGAUAUUAAGGAGGAAGAUUAUUCCUUUGAAUA
rnacentral:tRNA from 1 species